GGUUGUGGCUCAGUGGUAGAGAUCUUGCCUAGCACAUGUGAGGCACUGGGUUCAAUCCUCAGGACCA
rnacentral:tRNA from 1 species